CACCUCGCGCGCUGUCAGAGCUUGCCACCCUACAUGGGCUUCAUAUUUAAAAAAGGGCCACAAGUACUGACCCAAAUGUUAUCCAAAACUUAUUGCGAGUCUUGGACCAAAAUCCCCGCUGGGCUCAAACAGGGGGUAAAUUGAAAUUAAUCCUAAAAAAAUAAAAAAAUAAAAUAGAGAACUGAAAUCUACACUUCAAAGUGAUGGCAGCCAACAAUUAAAGAUCCAGGGGAUGUAGAGACAUAUCAGUUCAUUGCAUCAAGUUUAUAAGAAUAGCAGAAUCAGAUUCUAUUCCCAAAUUAGAAAUACUGAGGUUGUUUGCGAUCUUAAGUGUCACACCCCGAAUUUUCAAUAAAUAAAAAUUUCAAAUUCAAGGCAUGAUAACUAAAAUAAAAACAAACUUUACAACACUUUAGUUUUACAACUUGAGAAAGAAUAAUUUGAAACAGGUAGAACCUCCCUCAAUACUCACGAAAAUCUAGAAAGUAAACACAAGAAACAAGCCUAACUGCCGCAGCCUCAACUCUGCUAAUCAUGACCUGCUGAUAGGAGCACAAAGUGUGACGUUCUUAAUAUGUUUAUACCCUUUAUUUACCCUUUAUUUACCCUUUGUUAACUCCUAUUUAGUUGUUUUAGCUUUAUAUUUGUGUUUAGUGUAGAAUAAUUGCUUAAUUUAGAAAUAUGUAGUUUUUAGUAUUAGAAUACAUAGUAUUUUCGGAUUUGAAUAAUUUGGUGUUGAAAUUGUGCUGAGUGUUGGAAACCCUUGUUUACUCAGGAUUCCUGUCUUGAUCAAGAUUUCAUCUUUCCUCGAAGCCUAGUCCAUGAAGGAGAGGUCCAAACCAAGUCCAAUAUGGAGAAGAAGAUCUAAAUUCGGCAGAAUUUCAAGAAUAUCCAAGCCCUUGAAAAUCCGGAUUAAAUCGGGAGAAUUCCUGUGCACGUCUGUCAACUUCAACGGACUCUCCAGGACAGCUCACAAUGAAUCAGAAAACGUGCCAGAUAUGGAUAGAAAGCUACGGGAGUCUAGUUUCCAAAUCAAUUGGAAUCACCUCAAUAUCU
rnacentral:lncRNA from 1 species